rnacentral:rRNA from 1 species
UACAGAGGGUGCGAGCGUUAAUCGGAGUUACUGGGCGUAAAGGGCGCGUAGGCGGAUGUGUGAGUGUGAUGUGAAAGCCCUGGGCUUAACCUAGGAAGUGCAUCGCAAACGACAUAUCUGGAGUAUAAGAGAGGGUGGCGGAAUUUCCGGUGUAGCGGUGAAAUGCGUAGAGAUCGGAAGGAACGUCAAUGGCGAAGGCAGCCACCUGGCUUAAUACUGACGCUGAGGCGCGAAAGCGUGGGGAUCAAACAGG